GACGAACGCUGGCGGUGUGCUUAACACAUGCAAGUCGAACGGUAAGGCCCUUUCGGGGGUACACGAGUGGCGAACGGGUGAGUAACACGUGAGUAACCUGCCCUCAUCUCUGGGAUAACAGUCGGAAACGGUUGCUAAUACUGGAUAUGAGCUUGCAAGGCAUCUUGUGGGUUGGAAAGAUUUUUUUGGUUGGGGAUGGACUCGCGGCCUAUCAGCUUGUUGGUGAGGUAGUGGCUCACCAAGGCUUCGACGGGUAGCCGGCCUGAGAGGGCGACCGGCCACAUUGGGACUGAGAGACGGCCCAAACUCCUACGGGAGGCAGCAGUGGGGAAUAUUGCACAAUGGACGGAAGUCUGAUGCAGCAACGCCGCGUGCGGGAUGACGGCCUUCGGGUUGUAAACCGCUUUCAAUUGUGACGAAGCUUUUUUGUGACGGUAGCAGUAAAAGAAGCACCGGCUAACUACGUG
rnacentral:rRNA from 1 species